UACAGAGGUUCCAAGCGUUGUUCGGAUUUACUGGGCGUAAAGGGUGCGUAGGCGGUGAGGUAAGUCGGAUGUGAAAGCUCCGAGCUCAACUCGGAAAUGGCAUUGGAAACUACCUUGCUAGAGGGUUUGAGGGGGGACUGGAAUUCCUGGUGUAGCGGUGAAAUGCGCAGAUAUCAGGAAGAACACCCGUGGCGAAAGCGGCUCUCUGGAACGGUACUGACGCUGAGACGCGAAAGCGUGGGGAGCGAACAGG
rnacentral:rRNA from 1 species